rnacentral:rRNA from 1 species
UACGGAAGGUCCAGGCGUUAUCCGGAUUUAUUGGGUUUAAAGGGAGCGCAGGCUGAUGAUUAAGCGUGACGUGAAAUGUAGCCGCUCAACGGCUGAACUGCGUCGCGAACUGGCUUUCUUGAGUGAGUACGACGUCAGCGGAAUUCGUGGUGUAGCGGUGAAAUGCUUAGAUAUCACGAAGAACUCCGAUUGCGAAGGCAGCUGACGAGUCCUUUACUGACGCUAAAGCUCGUAGGUGCGGGUAUUGAAC